CAAAAAAAAAAAAAAAAAAAAAAAAAAGACCUAGACAAUGUGAUCACAACCAUUAACCUUAUUGUAAGCUAUGGGGAGGAAGUAUGCAAACAAAGUUUAAAAAAAAACCAACAUAACAGUUAACUUUUUGGUUUCUAACAUUUUGUUAUCUUUAGUGUGUAAUAUUUGGAUUAUGCAAGAUACACAACAAUAUGGAAAUGACAUGAACACUGGAAAGUUCAUCAGAAUUCCUUGGUAUAUUUAUUAUUUAGCUCAAGAGCAAUGGUGAGGAAUUCUAGUCCAUAUGGUUCCUUAGUAUACAUGCAUACUUUCUCUGGCUCUUGCUUGAACAGUUUUCACAGUCAAUAUUGAUGCAAUAUAGCAGUUGAUCAGGACUAGUUCCAGUGUUGAAAAUUAUGUUUUAUUAUGAUUGGUUUUGUUCUAUUUGUAAUAAGCCAGAUGUCAACAGCAAAUAAAACUAAUGAAUAUAUAUGUAUAGAUUUGUUCAUGUAAAGAAAUAAAAAUAUUUCAAUAAGAAACAUCCUGAUCUUGUGCCAAAUGGGGUCAGCUGGCCAGGCGAGAGUUACUUGAACAUGGCCAGUAAGAGGCAACAGCAGAGUAUUAAAGCAAUGAAUUUCAUUAGCAACAAUAAGCUGAUUUAACUAUCUUCUUUGUGUAUGUAUGUUAAUCCAAACUGUUUCAU